rnacentral:rRNA from 1 species
UCGCUCUUCAACGAGGAAUCCCUAGUAAGCACAAGUCAUCAGCUUGUGUUGAUUACGUCCCUGCCCUUUGUACACACCGCCCGUCGCUACUACCGAUUGAAUGGCUUAGUGAGACCCUCGGAUUGGUAUUCAGAAGCUUUAACCGGCAUCUGUUUGCUGAGAAGUUGGUCAAACUUGGUCAUUUAGAGGAAGUAAAAGUCGUAACAAGGUUUCCGUAGGUGAACCUGCGGAAGGAUCAUUAAUGAUUUUAAAGCGAGUCGAAGCGUUAAGCGAGGCUUGCGAAAAUAUUUAAAACCCCACUCCUUGAUCUCUUGGCUCUCGCAUCGAUGAAGAACGCAGCGAAAUGCGAUAAGUAGUGUGAAUUGCAUAAUUUUGUGAAUCAUCGAAUCUUUGAACGCAAAUUGCACUCCCUGGUAUUCCGGGGAGUAUGCCUGUUUGAGGGUCGUUAGAAUAAAAAAUCGAGGUGUCGCUCUUUUUUUUAAGGGUGAUCGCGUCGGAAUUGAGCCGUCUUUCAAAUGUUAAUUCAUGUCAAAGUGGCUUGAAAUUCAUCCAUCCGGUACGAUUAAAGCGUAUUUAAGAUCAACUUUGAUUAAGAACGCGCGAUGAACGAACCAUCUCAUGUAGUACGUUUGACUUUGACGUCGUCAGGAUCACUCGUAUACUAAACUCGAACUUUUGACCUCAAUCAGGUAAGAAUACCCCGCUGAACUUAAGCAUAUCAAUAAGCGGAGGAAAAGAAAAUAACAAUGAUUCCCUCAGUAACGGCGAGCGAAGAGGGAUAAGCUCAAAUUUUAAAAUCUGUUGGGUUCCCUUAACAGAGUUGUAUUUUGAAGAAACGAUUUUCUGCAUCCAGGAUUAGCCCUAAAUUCUUUUGGGAUAAAGUAUCAAUGGAGGGUGAGGAUCCGGUUCAUGGUUAAUCUUAAGGAAGCUCUACGAUACGUUUUCAAAGGAGUCGAGUUGUUGGGAAUGGCAGCUCAAAAUGGGGAGGUAAUUUCUCCUAAGGCUAAAUAUGGGCGAGAAGAUCGGAUAGCGAACAAGUACGUGAAAGGUAAAGAAGAAAGACAUUGAAAAUAGAAGAGUAAACGGUUCGUAAAUUGUUGAAGGCAUCGAUGGAGUCAGGUCAUAUACAAACGGGAGAAAUACAACCAUUAGUGACCGGUCUCGUGGUGAAGAGUUUCAAAGCCUUCGGAUUCGCGGGAUUGGGAUCUCUUGGUGUACUCGUACGGUUAGUCAACAUCGGUGGAUGUCAUAUGACUGGAGGAAUGUAGCUUCGAUCUCGUAUUGAAGUGUUAUAGCCUUUGGUAGAUGUGAUGUUUGAGACCGAGGAUUGCAACGGAUACCCUUCAGGGCUAUUCGUCUGAUCUCUGAUACGUUGCCUUGAUGUUGAAAGCUUGCUUAUGAUGUUAGGGUAUUACGGUCAAAAGGUUAGAACGGAUUAGAUUCGUUAAGGAUGUUGACGUAAUGACUUUAAACGACCCGUCUUGAAACACGGACCAAGGAGUCUAACAUAUAUGCGAGUGUUC